GCUUGUUUCUCAUUGACUCUUUAUAUUCCUGAAUAAGCUUCUCCUUCUCAUCCUCAUCCUCUACCCAGAACACACUGGGAAUAACAAAGCUGGAAGAGACCCUGCACUGUGGACAGGACUUACUGAUCCUGUUUGUAAACUGAGUGCCACUUCUCCAUGUGCGAAUACAGAGCUGUGCUGUACUGUGACAGAACAGGCUGUCUUUACAUAUUCUCUGCAAUGUUCCCUGCAAGUGCUGAGCUUGAAGUUCCACACAUUGCUGGACCCUGGAAUAAGCUGACCCUGUUCGCAGCACGACACUCACUUUACCUUUCUAGGAGCACAAGGGUUUCUCUACAUCCUCGUUUAUAUAGAGACUCCCCAUAACUUCAUGGAAACUUCUAGAACAAAUAAAAUUUCACUAAACUUGAAGAAUUCAAAAUCAACAUAUACACCAGAUGUGGUGGUGCACACAUGUAAUCCCGACACUUGGGAGGCUGAGGCAGGAUGAGUGUCAUGCGUACAAGACCAGCCCGGGAUACACAGUGAGUUUGAGGCCAGCCUGAACUACACAGCAAGACUCAGUCUCAAAAAACUGGAAAAACAAUCAAUGUGUAAAAAUUAGUGGUGUAACUAUGUGUAAAUAGCAGUAGUUGAAAAAGAUUUUUUUAAAAAAAUCUGUCUUAAUAGCUGUAAAAAUACCUCGGAGCAUGUUUUAACAAGGAGCUGAAUAAGCUCUACAAUUCAGAUAAUAAAAUGCUGGUUAAUGAAACUGAAGAUGAUCCGAGCAAACGGAAAGACAUCAGGAUUCCUGCUUUAGAAGUGGUGUUGUUGAAAAUGUCCUUUCUGCCUUGAGUGACCUAUAGAUUCCAUGCAGUCCUUAUCUAAGCUCUAAUGUUAUUCUUCAUAGAAACAGAAGAAUAACCAUAAAAUUUGUAUGUAUGUACAGACUCCCUGAAUAUCCAAAAGAAAUCCUGAGCAAAAUGAACAAGCCUGGAAGCAUCCCACCCCCUGACCUGUAGCUCCUUCAAAGCUGUGGUGACCGGAGCAGCGCUGCGGGUGUAAACACAGACCGCAUAGCCUGCGGCACAAGGCGGGCCUGGAGCGCUCCGGUGCCCGAGGCAGGACGAUCCCGCGAGCCUGAGGUCAGCGUGGGCUACACCGCGACUUCAGUGCCAGCCUGAGCUACAUAGCAAGACCCUGGGUGCAAAAACCCACACGACAGCAACACUAAGAAACCCACACAAAAGAGAAACAACACCUAUAAAAUACCUAUUUCACAACUACAAAUAAGCCAUAUUUUGCAUUACAAAGACGUGUACAUCAGAAUAGACUCAAAUGUACGACACUGAUUGCAAACUUUUCUCAUGCUGUCAUAAAAUUUUGAUUUCAGGCAGUGUGCUGUACCCCACUGUGUCAGAAAAAUCAGGCAUUAUCAGGCACUUCAGGCAAAAUCAGGCAUUAUCAACGUUACUAUUUUUGGCUCCGGAGAAUGCAUCCCUUCUCUUUCCUACAGACAUUGAACACCUCUCGCAGUUUAGUUUUUGUUUGUUUGUUUGUUUAGCAAGCUCCGGUGAGGCUGUAUUUUUGUCUGACGUCGAUUGCUUCACCCCCGGCACCGAGGUCGCGGCUCCCGCGUCGCGCUGUGACUCCUCCUCGGCACAUGGUCCCCUGUCACUCGAGGCGCUCUUAGGCCCAGGAGGGCAGACGAGGGCCACGCCCUCUGUAGGUGCUGGGGACGUAAUGGCAAAAGCAGAAAUAAAAACUGCUGGCCACAGGAA